CCGUCUUGGAAAAGAUGAAGGCCGAAGAAUCCAUCACACAGCCCCAAACUAAAGAGCCAGCCAAGGAGCCACCCAAAGAGCCGACUCCCAUUGUCUUCCUUCCCGACUCGAGUCAUCGGGUAAAACUCAUCUUCUUCCCUGAUUUUGACUUCUCUUUAACUCUUGACCUUCACCAUGCAGUCACCAGCCUAUCUGCCGAGCUAUACCAGAAAGACAUACCAUUUUCUCAUUAAGCUCAUACAUGUAUUUAAAUUUUUGCUGUGUUUUUCCAAAAAUUAGUGAAAAAGUUUCAAUCUUUUCCUUACCCACGUCAAUGAAACUCGAAAUAAUUUGUGGGUUUCUUUUUUUUGUGUACUUUUAUUUGCUGGGUUUGUUUCUUCGUUGAUUUUUAUUCAAAAAUCAAAACAAUUUUUGGUCUUUUGUUGUCUCUAAAAAAAGGUGAAAAAGUUUCAAUUUUUCGAUACUAGCAUCAAUGGAACUUGAAAACAAAUUGUGGUUUUGUUCUUUUAGUGGAUUUUAAUUGUGGGUUUUUGAUUUGCAGAAUGCGGAAGACAAUACGAAAAGGGGUUGAACCAACACUGGAAUUUGUGAUGACAAAGAAGGACAUAACUGGGAGUGGAGCUCCGGCUACUCUGCUGGUUUUUAAUACUGAGGUUGGAUUUUCCAUGAAGAAUAUGGACUCGAUCUGUAGUGUAGGACGUUCUACAAAGAAGGGGAAGAGACAUCAGGGCUUUAUUGGAGAAAAAGAGCUCCACGAUUGGCUAGCGUGAAUCUUGGUAUCUUCAUAUGCAUGAAAUGUUCAGGGAUCCACAUGGCUCCCAUAGCAGGUUGCAUAUAUCCAAUCCUGCUGACGACAACAGUGGCGGCAGAAGUGGAGGAAAUGACGGUGGUAAUUGAGGUGCAGUGGUAACAAGAGAGGUAGCAGGAGGCAGUGACCAUGGCGGUGAAGACAUUGUUGGUUGCAAAAGGUCGCACUUGGUGCGAUGGCAAGUGCCUUCGCCCAUAAGCGGUAGGUCUCGGGUUCGAGACUUGGGAGCAGCCUCUCCAUAAAUGGGGGUAAGGCUAGCCGACAUUCACCUCUCCCAGACCCUGUGUAAAGCGGGAGCCUUGUGCACUGGGUACGACCUAUUGAAUGGGGAAGCAGCAUGUGAUGAGUAAGACCAAAUAAGGGUUUUAUUGAAAACAAACUUAUACAUCCCAACGCAAAAGGAGAGAGGAGGCAAUGGCUGGCAUUGUUGAUAACGCACUUCUCUUUGGAAAGAAACAUGUUUGGUCUUCAAUCCACCAUUUACAUGUGAAAGAGGAAGUUUCCCUCUCACAUGGUUUGAGUCGUAGAGGGGGAGUUCAAAGUCAAAGAGGAGGGGUGUAAGCACAUAUUAAGUUUUUGUAUCUCAAUCUGAUUGUUUGAUUUUGGGUGUAUAGAUCAUGGGUUGAGUGAUGCAGGUGAAGCUUUGUUUUAGGACCAUCUUGGAGAAGUAUUGUUUGUUGAGUUGCCAGAAAAUGGUCACUCAGUCUCUCAAGGGGGCAGCUUUGGAUUGCCUUUCCAGAAUGUUGAGGAGGUCAUAUAAAUUAAACUAAUUGAAACAUUAUUUGAUAAUUUUGGCAUAUGAAUUUGAAUUGGUAUUGAUUUUUUUUCACAACUUUUGGAACGACGAGAUGAGACUACCAAGUCCAGAGGUCGGAUGGUCAUCUAAGGUGCUGUUAGUCUUGCUCUCCAAAUGACUCUCAUGAAUGUGAACCUUGAUCAAACGUCCAGAAUAUUUGAGCAUAUUUGAGCAGAUAGUUUAUCCGGUAUUUUUGGAGAAAGAGUGAUAUGUCAGCAUAGUCAUGGUAUAUGACAAUGAUAAUUUGAAGAACCGUUUAAAGUAUUUUGAUAUUGCAGCAGAAGGCAGACUUUGAAGAGUUCACGCUACACAGAAAGAUGAUGAAAUGCUACCCAUUGAAUCCAUCGUUGCUCCACUGGAGGCGAAGCUUAAGCUUGCUGCAGGAGGUAUACUUCUGUUCUACAUUAUGACCCCUAUAAUUUGUUUGUACAUGGGAGGUAUAGAGUGUUCAAUGUGUAUUUGGUUUCCAUAUUGUUUAUGGAUCUAUCGACUCAUUUAUUACAUGAAUAAAUAAUUAUAACGAGUUAAAUUUUUUUUA